AGAGUUUGAUCCUGGCUCAGGAUGAACGCUAGCGGCAGGCUUAACACAUGCAAGUCGAGGGGCAGCAUGUCCAGCAAUGGAUGAUGGCGACCGGCGGAAGGGUGCGUAACGCGUGAGCAACAUGCCCUAUACAGGGAGAUACACCAGGGAAACUUGGUCUAAUAUCCCAUAGCAUUCAUUGAAGGCAUCUUUAAUGAAUUAAAGCUUCGGUGGUAUAGGAUUGGCUCGCGUGACAUUAGCCAGAUGGUGAGGUAACGGCUCACCAUAGCAAUGAUGUCUAGGGGUUUUGAGAGGAAGGCCCCCCACACUGGGACUGAGACACGGCCCAGACUCCUACGGGAGGCAGCAGUGAGGAAUAUUGGACAAUGGAUGGAAAUCUGAUCCAGCCAUGCCGCGUGCAGGAAGACGGCCUUAUGGGUUGUAAACUGCUUUUAUACGGGAGCAAUAAGGGUUACGAGUAAUCCGAUGAGAGUACUGUAUGAAUAAGGAUCGGCUAACUCCGUGCCAGCAGCCGCGGUAAUACGGAGGAUCCUAGUGUUAUCCGGAUUUAUUGGGUUUAAAGGGAGCGUAGGCGGGAGGUCAAGUCAGCUGUGAAAUGUAUCUGCUUAACGGGUACACUGCAGUUGAAACUGGUUUUCUUGAGUGCGUAAGAGGCAGGCGGAAUUCGUUGUGUAGCGGUGAAAUGCUUAGAUAUGACGAGGAACUCCUAUUGCGAAGGCAGCUUGCUGGGUCGUUACUGACGCUGAUGCUCGAAGGUGCGGGGAUCAAACAGGAUUAGAUACCCUGGUAGUCCGCACAGUAAACUAUGGAUACUCUCUGCCGGCGAUACAUUGUCGGUGGCCAAGCGAAAGCGUUAAGUAUCCCACCUGGGGAGUACGUUCGCAAGAAUGAAACUCAAAGGAAUUGACGGGGGCCCGCACAAGCAGUGGAGCAUGUGGUUUAAUUCGACGCAACCCGAAGAACCUUACCAGGUUUUGACAUUUAUGGAAUUCUGUAGAGAUACGGAAGUGCCUGUUCGCAGGAACCAUAAAACAGGUGGUGCAUGGUUGUCGUCAGCUCGUGUCGUGAGAUGUUGGGUUAAGUCCCGCAACGAGCGCAACCCCUGCAUCCAGUUGCCAUCAUUAGGUUAGGGACUCUGGAUGGACCACUGCGGUAACAACGCAGAGGAAGGUGGGGAGGACGUCAAGCAAUCAUGGUCCUUACGACCGGGGCUACACACGUGCUACAAUGGUAGUUACAGAGGGUUGCGAAGCCGUAAGGUGGAGCUAAUCUCAUAAAAGCUACGCAAGUUCGGAUUGAGGUCUGCAACUCGACCUCAUGAAGCUGGAAUCGCUAGUAAUCGCGCAACAUCAUGGUGCGGUGAAUACGUUCCCGGGCCUUGUACACACCGCCCGUCAAG
rnacentral:rRNA from 1 species